AUAUUGCGCAAUGGGCGGAAGCCUGACGCAGCGACGCCGCGUGAGGGACGAAGGCCUUCGGGUUGUAAACCUCUUUCAGCAGGGACGAAGCGAGAGUGACGGUACCUGCAGAAGAAGCACCGGCUAACUACGUGCCAGCAGCCGCGGUAAUACGUAGGGUGCGAGCGUUGUCCGGAUUUAUUGGGCGUAAAGAGCUCGUAGGCGGUUUGUUACGUCGAUUGUGAAAACCCAGGGCUCAACUCUGGGCUUGCAGUCGAUACGGGCAGACUAGAGUUCGGCAGGGGAGACUGGAAUUCCUGGUGUAGCGGUGAAAUGCGCAGAUAUCAGGAGGAACACCGGUGGCGAAGGCGGGUCUCUGGGCCGAUACUGACGCUGAGGAGCGAAAGCGUGGGGAGCGAACAGG
rnacentral:rRNA from 1 species